AGCCUUUGUGUUGCCUGUUCACCUUUGGUCACUAGUGAAUGUGGUGUCAAAAAAGGCAUAAAUUAAUGCUUUGCAGCCAUUGCUUACCCUGGAGUUCAGUGUCUUGGGUGUAGGAGCUUCGUAAGUAACAGAA
ensembl:snoRNA small nucleolar RNA SNORA13